UGGGGAAUAUUGCACAAUGGGCGCAAGCCUGAUGCAGCCAUGCCGCGUGUGUGAAGAAGGCCUUCGGGUUGUAAAGCACUUUCAGCGAGGAGGAAGGUGGUGAGCUUAAUACGCUCAUCAAUUGACGUUACUCGCAGAAGAAGCACCGGCUAACUCCGUGCCAGCAGCCGCGGUAAUACGGAGGGUGCAGGCGUUAAUCGGAAUUACUGGGCGUAAAGCGCACGCAGGCGGUUUGUUAAGUCAGNUGUGAAAUCCCCGGGCUCAACCUGGGAACUGCAUUUGAAAACUGGCAAGCUAGAGUCUCGUAGAGGGGGGCUAGAAUUCCAGGUGUAGCGGUGAAAUGCGUAGAGAUCUGGAGGAAUACCGGUGGCGAAGGCGGCCCCCUGGA
rnacentral:rRNA from 1 species